GUAGCCAAAAUAGUGCCAUCGAAUAGGUAUCGUCCAGAUACCCUAUUCUAUAGGUAUUUAAUAGAUAUUUUAUGGGGUAUAAAAUAUACAUAUUUAGAUCCAUCUAUUUUAUAGGUAUUUUACAUGAUUUUUUACAGGUGUAUCUCAAAAGCACAUUUUAUACCUAUUAAUAAGUAUCAAACCAAUUUUAUUUUUAAGUUUCAUGGAAAUGGAAAUUUUCAUCUCUGCAUCCUCGUUUCGUGUUCGUGUGAUGAUAAUACGUCCUCGUAGCGGUUGUACUUAUCUACGUCAUCAAGAUGGCCGCUACAUUUGUAACGGUCUCAGCUCCGCCUUGCGCAUACACCGAACCCGUCUAGUCUAAAGCCCAUCGCCGCCUUCUUGAUGGUUAAAAGUUUUCAAGUUGUUUUAUUUAUAUUUGUUUCAAUACUUCAUUACUAUCAGCUCCGUUGCAGGAAUUUGUUCAUUGCUUGAAUUAUUCAUCUGUUUGCCAGAAUCGACACUUCCAGGAACUAUUGCCAUAUCAGAUGUAAAUUGCUGCUUAGUGCCAUUCGCUCUGUGCCUUUGACAUUCUCUGUCAUGUGUGGAAGGAACGUCGGGUAGAGAAUCGAUGGCUACCUUAAUAUCAUCAAUGAUCGGAGUAAAUCAUUAAAUUAUUUAAGCUUCAUUUUUGUCGGUGUCAAGGGAUGAUGUCGCAUCUUUUGAAAAAUGCAUUUUUCUUCUCUAUAAAUAAACUGAAAAAUGGCGUUGUGUUAGUGCUUUUCUGAGAGUGCUGUUCUGCAACCUGAUCGUUGAAAUUGUGUGUCUGUUGGGUAGACAUAGAUGACAUAGGUUAAAAGGCGGAGCGUGAUUGGUCAGCUAUAUUUUAUCACUGCUUUGUUGUGCCUAUGUCGGGUGGAACUCACGACAAGCUACAGGCACCUCUUCAGUUUUCAACUGUAUGUCCUGAUAAAGCAGCGAUAAGACAUAGCCGACCAAUCUUGCUCCGCCUUCUUACCUUUGUCAUGUACGUCUACCCGACAAACACAAAA